CCCGCUGAACUUAAGCAUAUCUUUAAGCGUAGGAUAAGAAACUAACAAGGAUUCCCCUAGUAACGGCGAGUGAAGCGGGAUGAGCUCAAAUUUAAAAUCUGGUAGUCUUCUGGCUACCCUAGUUGUAAUCUAGAGAAGUGUUUUCUGUGCUGGACUGUGUACCAGUUUCCUGGAUACGGAACAUCAUAUAGGGAGAGAAUUCCGUCCUUGACGACACGCCUCCCAAUGCUUUGUAUAUGCACUCUCAACGAGACGAGUUGUUUGCGAUUGCAGCUCACAAUGUGAGGUAAAUUCCUUCAUUAGCUGAAUAUUGGCGAGAGACCGAUAGCGAACAAGUACCGUGAGGGAAAGAUGAAAAGCUCCUUGGAAAGAGAGUUAAACAGUACGUGAAAUUGUUAAAAGGGAAACGAUUGAAGUCAGUCGCGUCUACUUGGACUCAGUCUUGCUUCGGCUUGAUGCAUUUCCUUGUGGACGGGCCAGUGUUCAUGUCGAUCGCUGGAGAAGGUACAGGGGAAUGUGGCUCCUUAGGGAGUGUUAUAGCCCAUGUUCAUAUACAGUGAUUGGUAUGGAGUGGUACAGCAUGCUUCGGCGGUGUUUGUACUGGCAUAAUGGCUUUAAACGAACCCGUCUUGAAACACGG
rnacentral:rRNA from 1 species